GGGGCCUUCGGGUCACUGGCGCACGGGUGAGUAACGCGUAGGUAAUCUGCCCAUAUCCGGGACAUAACAUCGAGAAAUCGUUGCUAAUAUCCCAUGAGGCCGCAAGGUCAAAGCUUCGGCGGAUAUGGAUGAGCCUGCGUCUGAUUAGCUAGUUGGUGGGGUAAUGGCCUACCAAGGCGACGAUCAGUAGCUGGUCUGAGAGGACGAUCAGCCACACUGGAACUGAGACACGGUCCAGACUCCUACGGGAGGCAGCAGUGAGGAAUUUUGGUCAAUGGGGGAAACCCUGAACCAGCGACGCCGCGUGCGGGAUGAAGGAGCUUUGCUCUGUAAACCGCUGUCGGAAGGGAAGAAAAGCCGGGUCGCCCGGCUGGGACAGUACCUUCAAAGGAAGGAUCGGCUAACUACGUGCCAGCAGCCGCGGUAAUACGUAGGAUCCAAGCGUUGUCCGGAUUUACUGGGUGUAAAGGGUGCGCAGGCGGAUUUGUGCGUCAGAGGUUAAAGACUUCGGCUUAACCGAAGAAAUGCCUUUGAUACGGCAAGUCUUGAGUACGAGAGAGGAUGAUAGAAUUCUUGGUGUAGCGGUGAAAUGCGUAGAUAUCAAGAGGAAUACCAGUGGCGAAGGCGGUCAUCUGGCUCGUAACUGACGCUCAGGCACGAAAGCGUGGGGAGCAAACAGGAUUAGAUACCCUGGUAGUCCACGCCCUAAACGAUGUAUGCUUGGUGUUGGCCUAGUAAUAGGUCAGUGCCGGAGGAA
rnacentral:rRNA from 1 species